GAUGAACGCUGGCGGCGUGCCUAAUACAUGCAAGUCGAGCGAACGGACGAGAAGCUUGCUUCUCUGAUGUUAGCGGCGGACGGGUGAGUAACACGUGGAUAACCUACCUAUAAGACUGGGAUAACUUCGGGAAACCGGAGCUAAUACCGGAUAAUAUUUUGAACCGCAUGGUUCAAAAGUGAAAGACGGUCUUGCUGUCACUUAUAGAUGGAUCCGCGCUGCAUUAGCUAGUUGGUAAGGUAACGGCUUACCAAGGCAACGAUGCAUAGCCGACCUCAGAGGGUGAUCGGCCACACUGGAACUGGGACACGGUCCAGACUCCUACGGGAGGCAGCAGUAGGGAAUCUUCCGCAAUGGGCGAAAGCCUGACGGAGGAACGCCGCGUGAGUGAUGAAGGUCUUCGGAUCGUAAAACUCUGUUAUUAGGGAAGAACAUAUGUGUAAGUAACUGCGCACAUCUUGACGGUACCUAAUCAGAAAGCCACGGCUAACUACGUG
rnacentral:rRNA from 1 species